CAGUAGCCGCGGUAAUACGGAGGGUGCGAGCGUUAAUCGGAAUUACUGGGCGUAAAGCGUGCGCAGGCGGUUGUGUAAGACAGGUGUGAAAUCCCCGGGCUUAACCUGGGAACUGCGCUUGUGACUGCACAGCUAGAGUAUGGCAGAGGGGGGUGGAAUUCCACGUGUAGCAGUGAAAUGCGUAGAGAUGUGGAGGAACACCGAUGGCGAAGGCAGCCCCCUGGGCCAAUACUGACGCUCAUGCACGAAAGCGUGGGGAGCAAACAGGAUUAGAUACCCCCGUAGUCCCUGUCUCUUAUAA
rnacentral:rRNA from 1 species